GAUACCCAGUUGUAUAUAUGUUUCUCAGGAAUGGAAAAUGUGCAUAUAUGGUGCUGAUUGCAGUGAGAUUAGCCUCGUCCAAGUUAGGGGAUCUGCCAUGAACUAGACAAGAUUAGAAGUUUAAAGAGGCCUUACAUCAAGAGAGUACAAGAUCGCCAUAAGGA